GGACGAAGACAAAUCUCGCGUGGCGAAAGCUGCGGGAAGCAAUCAGGAUUAGAUAACACUGGUAGUCCACGCAGUUAACCAUGUCAGAGUAAGAGCUUGUGGUCUUGAUACCGUGGCUUCUGAAGAUGACGCGAUAAAUCAGCCCGCCUGGGGAGUACGGCCGCAAGGUUAAAACUCAAAUGAAUUGACGGGGGCCCGCACAAGCGGUGGAGCAUGUGGUUUAAUUCGAUGCAACGCGAAGAACCUUACCUACUCUUGACAUCCAGCGAAUCCUUUAGAGAUAGAGGAGUGCCUUCGGGAACGCUGAGACAGGUGCUGCAUGGCUGUCGUCAGCUCGUGUUGUGAAAUGUUGGGUUAAGUCCCGCAACGAGCGCAACCCUUAUCCUUUGUUGCCAGCACGUAAUGGUGGGAACUCAAAGGAGACUGCCGGUGAUAAACCGGAGGAAGGUGGGGAUGACGUCAAGUCAUCAUGGCCCUUACGAGUAGGGCUACACACGUGCUACAAUGGCAGAUACAAAGAGAAGCGACCUCGCGAGAGCAAGCGGAACUCAUAAAGUCUGUCGUAGUCCGGAUUGGAGUCUGCAACUCGACUCCAUGAAGUCGGAAUCGCUAGUAAUCGUAGAUCAGAAUGCUACGGUGAAUACGUUCCCGGGCCUUGUACACACCGCCCGUCACACCAUGGGAGUGGGUUGCAAAAGAAGUAGGUAGCUUAACCUUCGGGAGGGCGCUUACCACUUUGUGAUUCAUGACUGGGGUGAAGUCGUAACAAGGUA
rnacentral:rRNA from 1 species